UUCGGGUUGUAAACCUCUUUCGGCCGGGACGAAGAGGACGGGACUCAAACUGCAGGGGACGGCUCGCUUCGCUACAGGAACCCCGGCAUUAUUAUAGG
rnacentral:rRNA from 1 species